UGUGAUAUUUUUUUUUGAAUCACCUCUUCCAUUCUUGGUCCCUAUUAACGCUUUCUUAUUGUGUGCCAUCACUGAAACAUACCACGUCAAGCAAGGGUGUUAAUAUCUCUGAAGUUAUCAGCCUCCGGCUUCUUUGACGGGUGACUGAUACGAUUGAGAUGUUGGUUCGUAUGUGACAUAAAGGUGUUUGUGGAUGUGACACGGACACCAGCAAUGGUAAAGAAAUAGCCACCAAUGUGUAUUUUGAUUAUCUAUCCUUCCCCUCAGGAAUUCAGUCCAUUCGCCUAUCAGAAUCUGUUAUAUCAAACGGGUUGCUGAGCAAGGGUUUCAAGCUAUUGAAGUUAAGAACUUGGUGUUGGUCGGGGUUGUGCUAUUGCUAUGCGAGCUCGGGUGAGUACUAUAAUUAUAUGUUUUACAAUAUUACUUUGAACAUAUU